GCCUGAUUGCACCCUGCUGUCAAUAAGCAGCCGCACCUUUAAUGGGGGACGAAGAGUGUGUGUGUGUAUGUCUGUGUGUAUAUUUGUACUUAAGGGUCAAGACAGUGACAUGGAAUGCUCCCAUUACACCAGGGACAUAUGGAUUCUCAGUAAUGAGACAAAGGUAAUGUUUGGUGGUUUAUGACAGUAUAGAAACAUUUAAGACCUGAACAGGUCUCCUGCAGGAGCUGGAAAACUUGAGCUCCAGACUGAUUAGUCACAUGACAGAUGUUUCAGGAACAGAGUGACGAUUAGCAAAGAUGGCAGCAGCUGGGUCACGUAUACUUCCAGAGCUGCAUGUGGCAUGAGCAACUGCCACUGAGAGAAAAGUUGCACUCAAGAACAGAGUCGGUGUGCAGAUGUUCUUGUAUCAUCUCCAGGCCUGUCUUCAAACUUAUUUUUGACUAUAUCCACUGUACAUGUUCAUCAUUCCUAGACCAUAUACAUAUCCCAAUCCUGAUAUAAAUGCAGAGGACUACAAUAUGUUUUAACCAAGAGCACUUGUAACAUGGGAACAUCAUAAAUCCUUUUCAUUUCUACUUUGUUGAUUUACUUAAGGGAGUCACUAAUUCCUGUCCUACAAGUCUACAAAAUGGCCCACGCUGA